rnacentral:rRNA from 1 species
UACGGGGGGGGCAAGCGUUGUUCGGAGUUACUGGGCGUAAAGAGUGCGUAGGCGGUUUUCUAAGUUUGGUGUGAAAUCUCCCGGCUCAACUGGGAGGGUGCGCCGAAGACUGGAAGGCUAGAGUAUGGGAGAGGUAAGCGGAAUUCCUGGUGUAGCGGUGAAAUGCGUAGAUAUCAGGAGGAACACCUGCGGUGUAGACGGCUUACUGGACCAUCACUGACGCUGAGGCACGAAAGCGUGGGUAGCAAACAGG